AUGACACCCGGAGGGGACGAAGCCGCAGCAAGUGCUGUGAAAGAAAAGGAAACAAGUGUCAAUGUUGGUUGUGAACAUAGGAUCUCACACUUGUAUGGAAUGGUAGUAAGAACUAUACCAAUUGUUGAGAAAAAUGAUUUAUCACCCCAUUCAGCAACAAAAACCAAAACAAAUGUGCUAGCAAGAGUACUGGCGACAGACACUAAUCCUGCACCAUUUCCAGAAAACUUCGAAACUGCUAGCUCAGCCUGCCAUUUUUCAGUAUAUAGUGUUAUAAAGCAGUUUCACUAUCAGACAGAAAGAGGGCCAAGCACAAGAAUAUCAUCAACUGCACCAAGCAACUGCAAAGGCUAUCAAUUAGAUAUGUAA
rnacentral:rRNA from 1 species